CCUACGGGCGGCAGCAGUGAGGAAUAUUGGUCAAUGGCCGGAAGGCUGAACCAGCCAUGCCGCGUGAAGGUCAGUGCCCUAUGGGCGUUAAACUUCUUUUGUGCGGGAGCAAUAAUGGUCACGUGUGGCCAGACGAGAGUACCGUACGAAUAAGCAUCGGCUAACUCCGUGCCAGCAGCCGCGGUAAUACGGGGGAUGCAAGCGUUAUCCGGAUUUAUUGGGUUUAAAGGGUGCGUAGGCUGGGAGGUAAGUCAGCGGUGAAAUGCCCCCGCUCAACGGGGUGAAGUGCCAUUGAUACUGCCUGGCUGGAAUGCGGAUGCCGUGGGAGGAAUGUGUGGUGUAGCGGUGAAAUGCAUAGAUAUCACACAGAACACCGAUUGCGAAGGCAUCUCACGAAUCCGCGAUUGACGCUGAUGCACGAAAGCGUGGGUAUCAAACAGGAUUAGAUACCCUAGUAGUC
rnacentral:rRNA from 1 species